CACGUAGGGGGCGAGCGUUGUCCGGAUUUAUUGGGCGUAAAGAGCUCGUAGGCGGUUUCGUUAGUCGGGUGUGAAAACUCUAGGCUCAACCUGGAGACGCCACCCGAUACUGCGAUGACUAGAGUCCGGUAGGGGAGUGUGGAAUUCCUGGUGUAGCGGUGAAAUGCGCAGAUAUCAGGAGGAACACCAACGGCGAAGGCAGGUCUCUGGGCAUUAACUGACGCUGAGGAGCGAAAGCAUGGGGAGCGAACAGG
rnacentral:rRNA from 1 species